rnacentral:rRNA from 1 species
GAUGAACGCUGGCGGCGUGCCUAAUACAUGCAAGUCGAGCGAACAGACGAGGAGCUUGCUCCUCUGACGUUAGCGGCGGACGGGUGAGUAACACGUGGAUAACCUACCUAUAAGACUGGGAUAACUUCGGGAAACCGGAGCUAAUACCGUAUAAUAUAUUGCACCGCAUGGUUGAAUAGUGAAAGACGGUUUUGCUGUCACUUAUAGAUGGAUCCGCGCCGCAUUAGCUAGUUGGUAAGUUAACGGCUUACCAAGGCAACGAUGCGUACCCGACCUGAGAGGGUGAUCGGCCACACUGGAACUGAGACACGGUCCAGACUCCUACGGGAGGCAGCAGUAGGGAAUCUUCCGCAAUGGGCGAAAGCCUGACGGAGCAACGCCGCGUGAGUGAUGAAGGUCUUCGGAUCGUAAAACUCUGUUAUUAGGGAAGAACAAAUGUGUAAGUAACUAUGCACGUCUUGACGGUACCUAAUCAGAAAGCCACGGCUAACUACGUG